CCACCUCUUCCCAUUCCGAACAGAGAAGUUAAGCUCACUUGCGCCGAUGGUACUGCAAUGCAAUGCGGGAGAGUAGGUAGCCGCCUCCU
rnacentral:rRNA from 1 species